AUGAUGAGUUUUGGUCGUUCAGAACUAUGACAACUCUUCCUGCGGCUGA
rnacentral:snoRNA from 1 species